rnacentral:rRNA from 1 species
CCUACGGGUGUCAGCAGUGAGGAAUAUUGGGCAAUGGGCGGGAGCCUGAACCAGCCAAGCCGCGGGAGGGAAGAAGGUACAGCGUAUCGUAAACCUCUUUUGUCAGUGCACAAAGUCGGGGACUAGUCGCCGGAGGAUGGUACCAGAAGAAAAAGCAUCGACUAACUCCGUGCCAGCAGGCGCGGUAAUUCGGAGGAUGCGAGCGUUAUCCGGAUUUAAUGGGUUUAAAGGGGGCGUAGGCGGCCUUGUAAGUCAGCGGUGAAAGUCUGUGGCGCAACCAUCGAAUUGCCGUGGAAAGUGGGGGGCUGGAGUAUGUAUGAGGCAGGCGGAAUGCGUGGUGUAGCGGUGAAAUGAUUAGAUAUCACGCAGAACCCCGAUUGCGAAGGAAGCCUGACAGGCCAUGACUGACGCUGAUGCACGAAAGCGUGGGGAUCAAACAGGAUUAGAUACCCGGGUAGUC